AUGUGGAACUGGAACUGGAUGUGGAACUGGAUGUGGAACUGGAUGUGGAACUGGAUGUGGAACUGGAUGUGGAACUGGAACUUGAACUGGCGUGCCAAUGCACAACCUGGAGCAGCACAAGGCCCAAACCUCUGGAAGCAGAGGCUGAGAGCGUUGCGCGAUGAAAAUCGUGCGCUUGGGAUUGCACCUGGUGUUGUUAAAGUUAAGCAACAGGAAAUCCCUCCGCCGCAGGUUGAGAUCCCAGUUGUGAUUAAGUGGGGUCCUGCUGACAAUGCCGCUGUCUUUGCACAACUCGUGGCCACUGGUGGAGUGCUUCCAUGUGUCUUCCAAAACUGCAACAUUGCCCCAUUCACCGCGAUCAGGAUGAACGGCCUCGAGCUCGGGAUUACGGAUCUGGCAUUGGCAGGUGUCCUGUCUGCGAUGCGGUUUGAGCAGAGUCAAGCGUCACAUGCGAGACAGCAGGUUAUUGCCGAAAUCUUGGCUCCAAUAUUGCCUCCGACCAUGUGCAUGGAACAAGCUGCGGCUGUGGUUGAGUUGAAAAAACUGGUUGACAAUGAGCGCCGCUUGAAUAAUGAAGCCUGGUUCUAUAACAUCAUUGGGAGACUCCCAGUCGGUGAGGGUGGGGUAGUCGAAGGGUGCUGGCAUCUUCAGCAGAGGCAUUGGGUCCCUGGAACUAAUUUGGCACAAAAGAUGGCUUUGCUACUGGCCAUCAUGAAGCACCCAGAGUCCAGGCAGCGAGGUCGGAUCGUGUACUGCAUCGUCAUCAUGCUGAUUUCCUUUGCGACCCGAGGCACUCUGUCUAAGGCCAAACAGCAGCGCAUUCUGAACGAGUUACGUCCGUUGAUGCCAGCUGUGGUUGAGAUGUAUGCAGUAGGUGAUGUAAGGCUGACAUACAUGAACUUUCGCCAAUACAUCCAUGAUGGGAAUGUUCAUGAGAUUCUCCAAAGAUGGUUGAAGCUGGUUCCUGGGGCUGCCAUCAGGCUCAAAGUACUGUUGGCAGAAGCUACCGGAUCCGGACUCAAAUCAUUGGACAUUGCAGCUCAGGCUCUCCACGAGCAUCCUGAUUUUCAGUGGCCCAUCAUUCGCCGGAUGUACCCUCAGCAAUGGGAACAAUAUCGCAAGGCCAUUCGUCAUAUCGAUGGGAAGGUGUACUAUGGCUUUCGUCGUGACCUUGGUGUUGUGAGAGCUGCCCUAUUCCGACAGAUUACAUGGGUCGGAUAUGAAUUGUUGAUUGCUUGCGGGAACCAAAAUCUGAGAGGCUACAGAGGGAUAGUACCUGAUCCUGCCAACAAGCAAAUCAUCAAGGAUCUGAUCAGUGAAUACCUGGACUCCAUCAAGGCUGAUCCUGAUAUGGUGAAUCCCGAGUGGGGGGAUGAGGAGGAGGAUGCUGUGUGUAUGGCGAUUCGAGAGACCCGUGGGUUGCCUUCUGUUGCUACCAACCUUGCUCGCAUGGAUGGGCACGCCGGUCCAAGGGUGCGUAUAACAGGAAGGAGCCGCAGAUGCCACAGAUCAUGA
rnacentral:lncRNA from 1 species